CCUACGGGUGGCAGCAGUAGGGAAUCUUCCACAAUGGGGGAAACCCUGAUGCAGCAACGCCGCGUGAGUGAAGAAGUAAUUCGUUAUGUAAAGCUCUAUCAGCAGGGAAGAACAUGACGGUACCUAAGUAAGAAGCCCCGGCUAACGACGUGCCAGAAGCCGCGGUAAUACGUAGGGGGCAAGCGUUAUCCGGAUUUACGGGGGGUAAAGUGAGCGUAGACGGCAGGGCAAGUCUGGCGUGAAAGGCGGGGGCUCAACCCCCGGACUGCUCUGGAAACUGGACGGCCGGAGUGCAGGAGAGGUAAGUGGAAUGCCGAGUGUAGCGGUGAAAUGCGUAGAUAUUAGGAGGAACACCAGUGGCGAAGGCGGCUUACUGGACUGUAACUGACGUUGAGGUUCGAAAGUGUGGGGAGCAAACAGGAUUAGAUACCCGAGUAGUC
rnacentral:rRNA from 1 species